GGGAACGCACAUAUGGUAGGAGAGCGUUCUGUAGGCCGUUGAAGGUGUCUUGAGAAGGAUGCUGGAGGUAUCAGAAGUGCGAAUGCUGACAUGAGUAGCGAUAAAGCGGGUGAAAGGCCCGCUCGCCGAAAGCCCAAGGUUUCCUGCGCAACGUUCAUCGGCGCAGGGUGAGUCGGCCCCUAAGGCGAGGCAGAAAUGCGUAGUCGAUGGGAAACAGGUUAAUAUUCCUGUACCUCUUUGUAAUGCGAUGGGGGGACGGAGAAGGUUAGGUCAGCCGGGUGUUGGACGUCCCGGUUCAAGCGUGUAGUCGUGCCCUGUAGGCAAAUCCGCAGGGCUUAGAUGAGGCGUGAUAACGAGUGGCCCUGUGCCGCGAAGUGAUUGAUACCAUGCUUCCAAGAAAAGCCUCUAAGCUUCAGUUACAAAGAGACCGUACCGCAAACCGACACAGGUGGGCAGGAUGAGAAUUCUAAGGCGCUUGAGAGAACUCAGGAGAAGGAACUCGGCAAAUUAGCACCGUAACUUCGGGAGAAGGUGCGCCCUGGUAGCGUGAAAGCCCUCGCGGCUGGAGCGUGAAAGGGUUGCAGUGAAAUGGUGGCUGCGACUGUUUAAUAAAAACACAGCACUCUGCAAACACGAAAGUGGACGUAUAGGGUGUGACGCCUGCCCGGUGCCGGAAGGUUAAGUGAUGGGGUGCAAGCUCUUGAUCGAAGCCCCGGUAAACGGCGGCCGUAACCAUAACGGUCCUAAGGUAGCGAAAUUCCUUGUCGGGUAAGUUCCGACCUGCACGAAUGGCGUAACGAUGGCCACACUGUCUCCUCCUGAGACUCAGCGAAGUUGAAAUGUUUGUGAAGAUGCAAUCUCCCCGCGGCAAGACGGAAAGACCCCAUGAACCUUUACUGUAGCUUUGCAUUGGACUUUGAACCGGUCUGUGUAGGAUAGGUGGGAGGCUUUGAAGCUGGGACGCUAGUUCUGGUGGAGCUAACCUUGAAAUACCACCCUGGUUUGUUUGAGGUUCUAACCAUGGCCCGUGAAUCCGGGUCUGGGACCGUGCAUGGUAGGCAGUUUGACUGGGGCGGUCUCCUCCCAAAGUGUAACGGAGGAGUACGAAGGUACGCUAGGUACGGUCGGACAUCGUGCUAAUAGUGCAAUGGCAUAAGCGUGCUUGACUGCGAGACCCACAAGUCGAGCAGGUACGAAAGUAGGUCAUAGUGAUCCGGUGGUUCUGUAUGGAAGGGCCAUCGCUCAACGGAUAAAAGGUACUCUGGGGAUAACAGGCUGAUACCGCUCAAAAAAG
rnacentral:rRNA from 1 species